CUCUCUGCAUCACCCUGAGACUGGAACACCACGUGCACUCCAUGUGUGCUGACAAGCCCCAGAUGUAUCCCUCUAUCCUUCCUGAAUGCAACCUGGGUAUCUAAGGGGCCUACUGCUAAAUGGACCUUCAUUUGGUGAGCUGGUUCUGGAACUUGUGGCCAAAUCUGAGUCCAUCUCUUUUGCAGUCUAGGACCUAGAUAUCAGGGUU
rnacentral:lncRNA from 1 species